GACAGAGGGUGCAAACGUUGUUCGGAAUUACUGGGCGUAAAGGGCGCGUAGGCGGGCUGGCAAGUCGGUCGUGAAAUCCCUCGGCUCAACUGAGGAUCGUCGAUCGAUACUGCCGUUCUUGAGGAUUGCAGAGGAGACUGGAAUUCCCGGUGUAGCGGUGAAAUGUGUAGAGAUCGGGAGGAACACCGGUGGCGAAGGCGGGUCUCUGGGCAAUUCCUGACGCUGAGGCGCGAAAGCGUGGGGAGCAAACGGG
rnacentral:rRNA from 1 species